CCUUCAGGUCUGACACUAACCCCGAGAAAGUCGGGGCUAAUAGCAGAUGAUGCAGCGGCUUGACAUCAAGACAGUUUGUUAAAGCUUCGGCGCCUGAAGAUGAGCCUGCGUCUGAUUAGCUAGUUGGCGGAGUAAUGGCCCACAAGGCUACGAUCAGUAACUGGUCUGAGAGGAUGAUCAGUCACACUGGAACUGAGACACGGUCCAGACUCCUACGGGAGGCAGCAGUAAGGAAUAUUGCUCAAUGGGAGAAUCCUGAAGCAGCAACGCCGCGUGAGGGAUGAAGGGCUUUGCUCGUAAACCUCUGUAGUGAGGGAAAAAUUUCCACUCUGUGGAAUAUGAUGGUACCUCAAAAGUAAGCCCCGGCUAACUACGUG
rnacentral:rRNA from 1 species